UACAGAGGGGGCAAGCGUUGUUCGGAAUUACUGGGCGUAAAGGGCGCGUAGGCGGCCUUCUAAGUCGAACGUGAAAUCCCCGGGCUCAACCCGGGAACUGCGUCCGAUACUGGAAGGCUUGAAUCCGGGAGAGGGAUGCGGAAUUCCAGGUGUAGCGGUGAAAUGCGUAGAUAUCUGGAGGAACACCGGUGGCGAAGGCGGCAUCCUGGACCGGUAUUGACGCUGAGGCGCGAAAGCCAGAGGAGCAAACGGG
rnacentral:rRNA from 1 species